GGCUGGUUAGCUCAGGUGGUCGAGCUUGGUGCUGAUAACACCAAGGUCGUGGGUUCGAUCCCCGUGCAGUCCC
rnacentral:tRNA from 1 species